rnacentral:rRNA from 1 species
CCUUGACAUACUAAGAACUUUCCAGAGAUGGAUUGGUGCCUUCGGGAACUUAGAUACAGGUGCUGCAUGGCUGUCGUCAGCUCGUGUCGUGAGAUGUUGGGUUAAGUCCCGNAACGAGCGCAACCCUUUUCCUAUUUGCCAGCGGGUAAUGCCGGGAACUUUAAGGAUACUGCCAGUGACAAACUGGAGGAAGGCGGGGACGACGUCAAGUCAUCAUGGCCCUUACGGCCAGGGCUACACACGUGCUACAAUGGUCGGUACAAAGGGUUGCUACCUCGCGAGAGGAUGCUAAUCUCAAAAAGCUGAUCGUAGUCCGGAUCGCAGUCUGCAACUCGACUGCGUGAAGUCGGAAUCGCUAGUAAUCGCGGAUCAGAAUGCCGCGGUGAAUACGUUCCCGGGCCUUGUACACACCGCCCGUCACACCAUGGGAGUUUGUUGCACCAGAAGUAGGUAGUCUAACCGCAAGGAGGACGCUUACCACGGUGUGGCCGAUGACUGGGGUGAAGUCGUAACAAGGUAGGCGUAGAUGA